UGAACACCAAAUCCCUAAAAUUACAUAUAAUUUGUGAACAUUAAAAGCAAUCGCGCGCACACGCAGCCCCUUUCUCUCAAUAGCACGCACGCCGCCGGCACACUUAGCCCAUGCAACAGCAGCCGAGCACGGUAGCAACAGGCCACCAGCAGUCGCUCUCUCUCUCUCAUGCACACGCAGCAGCAAGCCAACACCAACAGCCCCUCUUUCUCAUGCUCACUCUCUACUAUGACGAAGUCAACACUAUAGCCCUCUUACGUACUCAAGAAAACUCUAACCCAUAUCCAAACCCUCGCCGUCGAAGAAAACCCAAUCCUUAAUGGCUUGAAAUUAAAGCCUCCACCGUCAAUCACCAUCAAACCAAAUAAACCCUAGCCUUACCAUCACUCUUCGUUUGACUCACUGAAGAAAGCACUCUAUUAGGAGAGUCUCUGUUUUUUGAUAAUAUAUAUGCACUCUUUGUUGGCCGAAGCUUUUAGACAAUUGCUUUGAUUCCAUUGCUUCGAUUGGUCAGUUCUCUGUGAUUAAUUAGUUAGUUACUUACUUUUAAUUUCAUAUUUUCAUCUCCAACAGUGAAUUUGGGAGUUUUUUCUCUGUCGGAUUUGUGAUUUUUGCUACGGAUCAAAAACAUUUUGAAUGUGUUUUCAUAUCUAACAACUUGAACUAUCAUUUAUUUUGUCCUGUUAAUGUUCAAUUUUUUUUCUUUUUUAUUAGUAUGACAAUUAGUUGAAUGUGCUUGCACAUAAAACAAUCUUUUAACUUGGCGCUGGAAUAUUUGUUUUGAGUUGUGUCCCCUUAAUUAGUGACCAUACAAAAGUUCCCAAUGAUAAAGUGUUUAGCCCUAUUAAUGCCAUAAAGUCUUGCUCUCAAUUUUUCUGAUUAUGCCUAUGGAUUGAUUACCUAUUUCAUUUAGAAAUUCAAUUGGCAAAUGUACAAUGCUUGCAUGACACUCACAUUUGGGUUUAUGAUGGCAGUCAUUAUGAGGAAGAAGGUUAGAAUAACAUCAGGGGAAACAUCUGGGACAAGGUAUGUACUGUCAAGCUCUUUGUUAGAAUCAUCGCAAAAUUUUUAUUGGAUCGUGGCUGUUCUAUGUGAUGCAUUUUGGAUUUGUUCUUGCUAGACAUGCAAAAACCUGUAAAAUGUUUUUUUUCCCAUUUUAGAUUUACUAUCUAGUAUCUUGUAGGUUUAAUCUAAAAUAGAAACCAUUCUAAUGAAGAGAAAAGAUGUUAGACUUUAGUAUUCAACCUUUUUUUUUUUUAGCCAUAUUUCUAGACCCCAAGUUUAUGUCAUGAUAAUUGUGUGAUUGAUAAGAUAUUUUGGUUUUGGACUUUAUCUCAUGGAUUUAGAGUUCGAUUAUAUUUGGAAGUUGAAUAAUGCAUUCAUUUACAUAUGAUGUUUGAUGAAGUUCCCAUAAAAUUAAUUCAAUUAUAUAUGUUUAUGGUUCUAAGGAAGCAGGGCAAAAAUUUUAUCAGUGGGUUGAUUUCACUAGUUCAAGUUAGCAAAGCAAAGAAAUUGUCUUAAUGCACUUUAACUUUCCUCCAUUUAAGGUAAAAAAAUUAUUGAAGCUUUUGAAAGUGAAUUGUUCAUUUUGUUUGUGCACUUGUGUAGAUGGAUUUACUUUUGGCUGCUUAACCCGUCCUCACUUAUAUUUUUUCAGUUUAAAUUGCAGUAUUUUGUUGCUGUGCAACAGCACAAAAGGCUGUUUUAUUGUUGUUUCUGUAAAAACACAGCACUAGGAAGCGUCCAGGUAAUGUUUCACUGCUGUUAUGCAGUAAAAACAACACCUGAAAGUUUCUAGGUGCUAUUUUUACUGCUGUUUAUGCAGAAACAUAGCACCUAAAAGUGUUUCUAGGUUUUGUUUAGCUGCUAUUAUGCAGUAAAAACAGCACCUGGAAACUUCCAAGUGUUGUUUUUACUGCAUUUUAUGCAAAAACAAAGCACCUGGAAGCAUUCAAGGGCUUCUUUUACUGUUGUUUUGUAUUUAAAAUUGCACUUAGAAAUUUUGGGUGCUAAUUCGCUGAAAUUUUGCUACUAACAGUACAGCUUAAUAAUUUCAGAUGUCGUUUUGAACCUUCUUCAGUUCUUUUCUCUUAUGUCUAUACUUAAUCUUUUACCCCCUUGGUAAUAAGCAGGUACAACUUUUGCAAGAUAAUAUCUAAGCAUGUUGUUAAUUCUUUGGUUGAGAUGUAGUAUUCUAAACUUCAGGCCUUAAUUUUUUUAUUUCCAAGUGUAUAAUGGGUAGGUAUUGGAUCUCUUAUGGAUGAUGUAGUUAAUAAUUUUUUAUUGUCUCUAUUUUGGCGAAUGUGUUGUCAUUUAUUAUCUGAACACAUGGUUGAUUAACUUACUUGAGGUAAGUCUAUUAAUUAAUAGUGAUAUGGUACUUUAAAGUCUUGUUUUACAACUUAAGUCACUAAAAUGAUUUAAUAUUUAUGAUUUAUAAUAUAUGAAUAUAUCUUAAUUUCUCUUUAUUCUUUGUAAGAAUGAUGUAGAUUGCUGAAGCUGGUGAGAUUCAUUUGCAAUUGAAAACUUGAUGAGAAAUUAGAUGUACUCACACAUGCCAAUCUUGUUGGUUGCUAGUGCAUUCACUAGUAGAAGUUUAAUGAUUGUUGGAGAUUUUUGUAGAGCUAUCUCUGUGUAUAUGAAACAUUUGAAUCUUUUUGUAUAUGAAACAUUUGUGAAAAAUAAUUGUAAAGAAUUUAAUAUGAAAUUAGAAUUAAAAUAGGGGCUUGAAAUAGCCUUAAAUUUUUCAAA
rnacentral:lncRNA from 1 species